rnacentral:rRNA from 1 species
UACAGAGGUCUCAAGCGUUGUUCGGAUUCAUUGGGCGUAAAGGGUGCGUAGGUGGCGCCAUAAGUCAGGUGUGAAAUCUCGGGCUCAACCCCGAAACUGCACUUGAUACUGUGGUGCUGGAGUACUGGAGAGGAGAUUGGAAUUUACGGUGUAGCAGUGAAAUGCGUAGAUAUCAGGAGGAACACCGGUGGCGAAGGCGGUUCUCUGGGCAUUACCUGACGCUGAGGAGCGAAAGUGUGGGGAGCGAAACAGG